UACGAAGGUGGCAAGCGUUACUCGGAAUUACUAGGCGUAAAGGGCAGGUAGGUGGUUUGAUAAGUCUGUUGUGAAAGCUCCCGGCUUAACUGGGAGAGGUCAAUAGAUACUGUCGAACUUGAGUAUGGGAGAGGGUACUGGAAUUCCUGGUGUAGCGGUGAAAUGCGCAGAGAUCAGGAGGAACACCGAUGGCGAAAGCGGAUCUCUGGGCCUUACCUGACGCUGAGGCGCGAAAGCUAGGGGAGCGAACAGG
rnacentral:rRNA from 1 species